rnacentral:lncRNA from 1 species
AUGAUUUUGUUUGAAGAUUUGGAAUUUCGUAGGAUUUUGCUUGCGUUAAUUGUUAUGGUCUAUGAUGCUAUGCUGAGACCUUCUGUAAGCGUUUAACAGGCUUUGCUUUACCUGCUAAACACUUACAGAUUUAUCAAUUUUGUGUUGUUUGAUUUCGUAUUGUUGUUUCAAUGUGAUUUUGACUUCUUAGAAGUUUAUCGUACCUAUUUUGUUUUUUACCGGUUGUUUUGUUUUGUAUUUUUAUGUGGUUGGUGAUGCUCUUAGCUUAUCUUUUUCCAUGACGUUUAAUACUUUAAUGGUUCUUUUUUGUGGCGUAAUUAUGAUUUAUGUGGUAUGUGUGUUUUUAAACCAAACAAUCGUUGCCAAACUGUUAGGUAAUCUUUAAAGGUUGUGAAGAUUCUUUUGUUUUGAUCCUCAAAAUCUAUGUUAUAUAGUGUUAGUUAGUAAGACUUUGGUACAUCACGGAUUGAAUGUUUGCCUUGAUGUUGGUGACUUUCUACUUUGGCUAUGACAAGUGUAACUUUGUUUAUAGUUUAUGAUUAGUUGGUGUGUUUUUUUAUGGUUACAUGAUGCCCUCUUCACGCAUGGACCCUAUUGUUUUACAACAAAUUGAAAAGCUUUUAGAUGAUGUAAUCGAAUCGGAUCCGUUGUUAUCUAAGAUGCUUAAUGACUUAACCGUCAAGGUUUCUAGCAUACGGGACAAAUAAGUGGAGUUGGUGUGACAACCCUCACCAAAUCAGGAAACUAACGGAUCUGGCACGGUAUGCACGUAUUUUCAAGCUGCGUUUGAGUAAAGAAGUCAUCCAGGGUUUAGAAGGCGUAACCUCUUCCUGGACGGGUUACAUACCCCUAAACCUAGUUUUGUUUUAAGGUCUUUGAUAAGUUUUUAUGAAAUCAUUUAAUUCAAGCCAAGGUUUGUAACUUAUUUUGUGAUUGUUGAAAAUGGGAUUUUCUAAACCUUAUUAUUGGAU